ACAAUACAGAACAACCCAAUAAACAUAGCAUAUUUACACAGAUCAAUCUAAAAAGCACUGUAAAAAACUGCCUGUUUCAUUGUAAGGGACUGGGAAAUGGUUGUAUAAGACUGAUUUACCUUUUUAAGUACACAAAAUCAAACAACCAUUGUAAGUGGACCAAUGUAGGAGGCCCUUUAAAGUGUCAGAGCAGCAAAGUCUUAGGCUACCAAAAAGCUGCCUGUAUAGUUCAAUUUGCUCAUUUGCCCACUGUAGUGGUGACAGUAACAACAACAACAACAAUAAUAAUAUCUCUAUUUAUAGUGUACUUUUCAUACCGGUGGCAGCUCAAAGUGCUUCAAGGACAGACCCCCACGAGUGGAUAAAUCUGAUGACUGAGAAUGAGUUCAAGGAGUAUUCACAGAGAACUCAGGCAAAACUUGGUGAAGGAGGCGUCUUCUGAGGAUGGCCUUCACAGAAGAGUAGAGGCUGUUACUGCAGCAAAGGAGGACAAAC